rnacentral:rRNA from 1 species
CCUACGGGUGGCAGCAGUUAGGAAUAUUGGUCAAUGGGCGCGAGCCUGAACCAGCCAAGUAGCGUGAAGGAUGACUGCCCUACGGGUUGUAAACUUCUUUUAUAAAGGAAUAAGGUGAGGCACGUGUGCCUUUUUGUAUGGUCUUUAUGAAUAAGGAUCGGCUAAAUCCGGGCCAGCAACCGCGGUAAUACGGAGGAUUCGAACGUUAACCGGAUUUAUUGGGGUUAAAGGGAGCGUAGAUGGGUUGUUAAGUCAGUUGGGAAAGUUUGCGGCUCAACCGUAAAAUUGCAAUUGAUACUGGCAGUCUUGAGUACAGUUGAGGUAGGCGGAAUUCGUGGUGUAGCGGUGAAAUGCUUAGAUAUCACGAAGAACUCCGAUUGCGAAGGCAGCUUACUAAACUGCCACUGACAUUGAUGCUCGAAAGUGUGGGGAUCAAACAGGAUUAGAUACCCGAGUAGUC